rnacentral:lncRNA from 1 species
UUUUGAUUUGGGAGUUUGAGUUGCUCAAUACGAGCAGUUUCGAAAAGGGAAUAAUGAGGAUCGGCCUAGAUGGAGCCGAAAUAAAGACUAGAAUAAAGGGAAGGAAAAAAAUAUUUCCUUCUUUGAAGAGUCUUCGGCUCAUGAAGAACCGAAUUCAUCUGAAGAGGCAGAAGAUUCGGCUGAUGGAGCCGAAAUCUGUGCUGCCGAGAUGGUGAGAAACAGUCAACCGUACAAAUGUGCUUUGUUAAAG